rnacentral:rRNA from 1 species
AACGAACGCUGGCGGCAGGCUUAACACAUGCAAGUCGAGCGCCCCGCAAGGGGAGCGGCAGACGGGUGAGUAACGCGUGGGAAUCUACCCAUCUCUACGGAAUAACGCAUGGAAACGUGUGCUAAUACCGUAUACGUCCUCCGGGAGAAAGAUUUAUCUGAGAUGGAUGAGCCCGCGUUGGAUUAGCUAGUUGGUGGGGUAAAGGCCUACCAAGGCGACGAUCCAUAGCUGGUCUGAGAGGAUGAUCAGCCACACUGGGACUGAGACACGGCCCAGACUCCUACGUGAGGCAGCAGUGGGGAAUAUUGGACAAUGGGCGCAAGCCUGAUCCAGCCAUGCCGCGUGAGUGAUGAAGGCCCUAGGGUUGUAAAGCUCUUUCACCGGUGAAGAUAAUGACGGUAACCGGAGAAGAAGCCCCGGCUAACUUCGUGCCAGCCGCCGCCGUAAAAC